CAACUAGACCACCCUCAACAUUUAUGAUUUUGACUGACCGUCCCGUGACAAAGAAUUUAAUGAUUGAUAUUCAAAAUCUAAGUUCAAAUCUAAAUUGAUUAUAUUUUUAUCUAAAUUUAUUUCUAAAUCAAAUAAAUGAAGCGUAUAGCGUACUACUUAUCUCUCAAAAAAAAAAAAACAAUUUUGGAACAAAUACAUUAAUCUAUUUUAAGCUCACAUUCCUCCGCUACUCUCUCUCUCCUU
rnacentral:lncRNA from 1 species